rnacentral:rRNA from 1 species
AACAAACGCUGGCGGCGUGCCUAACACAUGCAAGUCGAACGCGAAAAUCGGCUUCGGCCGAUGAGUAAAGUGGCGCACGGGUGAGUAACGCGUGGAUAAUCUACCCUUCAGUUGGGAAUAACUUAUCGAAAGGUGAGCUAAUACCGAAUAAAACUGCCUGACCACGGUCGGGUAGUCAAAGAUAGCCUCUGCUUGCAAGCUUUCGCUGAAUGAUGAGUCCGCGUACCAUUAGCUAGUUGGUGGGGUAAUGGCCUACCAAGGCGACGAUGGUUAGCUGGUCUGAGAGGAUGAUCAGCCACACUGGAACUGAGACACGGUCCAGACUCCUACGGGAGGCAGCAGUGAGGAAUCUUGCGCAAUGGGGGAAACCCUGACGCAGCAACGCCGCGUGAGUGAGGAAGGUCUUCGGAUCGUAAAGCUCUGUCGGGUGGAAAGAAUGUAUGGGGUUAAUAGCCUUCAUACUUGACGGUACCACCAAAGGAAGCACCGGCUAACU